CACAUUUAAAAGAGUCAAACAUCACAUCCUGUUGUCAUUCUGACUUCAGUCCUCAAACAUGCCGUCACGUCUCUCCUUUCUUCUCCUGCUCGUCGUCAUUCUGCUGAAAAGUCUCUGUGGACAUGCUGAAUCUCAAGGAAAGCUGCAGAAACCAGACAUUUCUGU